UGGGGAAUUUUGGGCAAUGGGGGAAACCCUGACCCAGCAACGCCGCGUGAAGGAUGAAGUAUUUCGGUAUGUAAACUUCGAAAGAAUAGGAAGAAUAAAUGACGGUACUAUUUAUAAGGUCCGGCUAACUACGUGCCAGCAGCCGCGGUAAUACGUAGGGACCAAGCGUUGUUCGGAUUUACUGGGCGUAAAGGGCGCGUAGGCGGCAUGACAAGUCACUUGUGAAAUCUCUGGGCUUAACCCAGAACGGCCAAGUGAUACUGUCGCGCUAGAGUGCAGAAGGGGCAAUCGGAAUUCUUGGUGUAGCGGUGAAAUGCGUAGAUAUCAAGAGGAACACCUGAGGUGAAGACGGGUUGCUGGGCUGACACUGACGCUGAGGCGCGAAAGCCAGGGGAGCAAACGGGAUUAGAUACCCCUGUAGUCCCUGAGCGGGCUGGCAAGGCGCAU
rnacentral:rRNA from 1 species